AUACGUAGGUGACAAGCGUUAUCCGGAUUUACUGGGCGUAAAGGGCGUGUAGGCGGUCUUGCAAGUCAGAAGUGAAAUUCCUGAGCUCAACUCGGGCGCUGCUUCUGAAACUGCAGGACUUGAGUGCUGGAGGGGAUAGCGGAAUUCCUAGUGGAGCGGUAAAAUGCGCAGAUAUUAGGAAGAACACCGGUGGCGAAGGCGGCUAUCUGGACAGUAACUGACGCUGAGGCGCGAAAGCGGGGGGAGAAAACAGGAUUAGAUACCCUGGUAUUCCACGCCGUAAACGAUGAAUACUAGGUGUAGGGGGUAUCGACUCCCUCUGUGCCGCAGUUAACACAAUAAGUAUUCCGCCUGGGGAGUACGGCCGCAAGGUUGAAACUCAAAGGAAUUGACGGGG
rnacentral:rRNA from 1 species